GCAGGCUUCUUAAGAAGCGGUGGAACCACUAGUCAUCGCUCGAUGGUUACCACUUGUUGAUCUUGAUCCCGCUUCCCGGAGCCAAGCCUGGAACUUCACCGGUCAGGCGCGUCUCGCUGGUUGGCACCUCCAAGCCGUUCUGAUCCGCUGUGGCCCGGGACCCCCGAACCUACCUGGACUCUCGUUUCCUCCUGACGUCCUCCAGUCUCAAUUCUCGAACCAUUGUUUGACCUCAUUAAAACAAACCCUCUUAACCGUAAAGUCUGUUCUUCUGUGAGCACCUGCAUGUGGGCAAGGAAAUUAAAAUCCAACAUGACAACUACUAAACAUGAACAAGUAUAAAGCGACAUAACUACUAAACAUGAA